GUGGACGCCAGUCUGCAUGGAGCCGACCUUGAAAUACCACCCUUUAAUGUUUGAUGUUCUAACGUGGACCCGUUACCCGGGUUGCGGACAGUGUCUGGUGGGUAGUUUGACUGGGGCGGUCUCCUCCUAAAGAGUAACGGAGGAGCACGAAGGUUGGCUAAUCCUGGUCGGACAUCAGGAGGUUAGUGCAAUGGCAUAAGCCAGCUUGACUGCGAGCGUGACGGCGCGAGCAGGUGCGAAAGCAGGUCAUAGUGAUCCGGUGGUUCUGAAUGGAAGGGCCAUCGCUCAACGGAUAAAAGGUACUCCGGGGAUAACAGGCUGAUACCGCCCAAGAGUUCAUAUCGACGGCGGUGUUUGGCACCUCGAUGUCGGCUCAUCACAUCCUGGGGCUGAAGUAGGUCCCAAGGGUAUGGCUGUUCGCCAUUUAAAGUGGUACGCGAGCUGGGUUUAGAACGUCGUGAGACAGUUCGGUCCCUAUCUGCCGUGGGCGCUGGAGAACUGAGGGGGGCUGCUCCUAGUACGAGAGGACCGGAGUGGACGCAUCACUGGUGUUCGGGUUGUCAUGCCAAUGGCACUGCCCGGUAGCUAAAUGCGGAAGAGAUAAGUGCUGAAAGCAUCUAAGCACGAAACUUGCCCCGAGAUGAGUUCUCCCUGAGACUUAAAGUCUCCUGAAGGAACGUUGAAGACGACGAC
rnacentral:rRNA from 1 species